AGGACGAACGCUGGCGGCGUGCUUAACACAUGCAAGUCGAACGCUCUUGGGGCUUCGGUCUCAGGGGAGUGGCGCACGGGUGAGUAGCGCGUGGGAACCUGCCCUGUUGUGGGGGAUAACCGAGGGAAACUUCGGCUAAUACCGCAUAAGCCGGUUGUCUUGAAGGAGAUGGCCGGGAAAGAUUUAUCGCGACAGGAGGGGCCCGCGUCGGAUUAGCUAGUUGGUGGGGUAACGGCCCACCAAGGCGGUGAUCCGUAGCUGGUCUGAGAGGAUGAUCAGCCACACUGGGACUGAGACACGGCCCAGACUCCUACGGGAGGCAGCAGUGGGGAAUAUUGGACAAUGGGCGCAAGCCUGAUCCAGCAAUGCCGCGUGAGUGAUGAAGGCCUUAGGGUUGUAAAGCUCUUUCGCCCGCGACGAUGAUGACGGUAGCGGGAGAAGAAGCCCCGGCUAACUUCGUGCCAGCAGCCGC
rnacentral:rRNA from 1 species